rnacentral:lncRNA from 1 species
AUGGAAACACUUUCUCUCUACGCCACACCUUAUCACGUCCCAUUCACAGCGUCAUGGCAUUUGAGGAAAAAGGAUCAUCUGAGAGCGAGGACGAAACACCAAAAAGACACAUGGACUCAUCCUCUCAUGAGCAAAGAAGUGGGUGGAGAGACAGGGAUGCUGAGAAUGAGGAUUGCAGCAGUGAAGCCUAUGCUGAGCAAGGUAAAUAUUGUACACUGACUGAUGAAAUACUCUUAAUUAUGCUGUAAUUAUCAUGUAAUCUUAUUUCAUUGUUUCGCUAUCCAGUUAAAGGAAAAAAGAUUCAAGGUCCCUGAAUGAACAUCAGCCUCCACCAUACCAGGACAAAGAUGAUCUCAAGGGUGGCUCAAGGGGCCGCACUGACUCAGCAGAGGGCAGUGGAAUUGAGAUCAGUGAGGGUAGUGAAGACCCUGAGGACACAGAGAAUUACCUGAAUAAGGGCUAUGAGGAAGAUGCACCUAUUGACAGCACAGCUGUUUUGGGCCCGGAGGUGAUCGAUUCGGCCCAUCGUUUCUGAUGUAUUCUUCUAUGAGAAUCAUGGCCCCACCUUCAGAUUCACUGAUAAAACUGUCAAAAUCUACAGUGAUCUAUGUCUCCAAGAGACCUGUUCACUGCAGUUUAUGUUGAGAGAAAUAUUUGUAAAGGUUUUUU